CUUAGAGCUAAAAUCAUUCCAAGCUCUGUGUUGCUUUGAGACUUUAAUCAGCCACCUUUUGCAGUUAAUUGCUAUUUUGGCAGGCUGGAGAAGGGAAAUGGAGAUUUUUAACAAUUUCAUAUCAACACAAACCGAAAAGAAUUUGAUGAGACAAAUAAAAGGUCUCUUUCCUAACUCAAAGAUGCUCAGCUUGCCAAGUGCCAGAAGCUUUUUUGCAAACAUUAAAAGUGGGAGAGGAUUUCUUGGAGGAAAGCUUGCUAGAUCCCUCUGUGAUGAAAGGUUUUAUGCAACACAGGUAAGUUCCAUUUGGAGCACGUCCUGCCUAGCACAUCUCACCCAGGAUGUUCCACCCCGGCAUGCCAGGUCCUUGGGAGGCUUUAUGGAGCUCUGAUAUGUACUGAAAGGUCUAUGUGAAAAAUCCUAGAUUUUAUUUUAGCUCGUGAUUAAUCCAUUAAUGUGGAAAGUUUAACUUUACACGUGGCUGGCUUGGGAGGCUACCUGGAUAGUCCAGAUCUGGAGCCCGUGCCUGGUGCCUGCCUGUGUCCCAGCAGUGUGUGAGCAGUUUUCAGACAGUCACUGCCUGGUGCACUUUUAACACCCACCAAUGGAAGGUGAGAGCUGCUAGUGGUCAGAAGGCACAGAUUCCAUCUUGUCUGUUUCCUCCACUGACUUUGGUUCAGCUCUCACCGGACCAACAAGCUCUGAGAACUCCUAUAAAACUCCAAAGCGAAAAAGAGUGUGCCUGCCAGGUUUGCCAGCCUGAGUAUAUUCCAAGGUGAUGAAUGCCAUGGGACUGGUAACUGCUGCAUAAAUGAGUCAUCUGAAGAAUUAAAAAUCAGAUAAGAGAAGAAAACUAGAAGGAUUUGGUGUCUUGGAUCCAGUCACCAUCCCUUUUCAGGCCAGACCUUAAUGGUCUGGGAUCUCUGGACAUUGUGGCUGGAGUGGAGCAAGAAUUAUUAGAUCCCCUUAACUUCAUUUAGUGCUGAGCUGUUGGAACCCUGGAUGCUGAGAAUUUUAAACUCUCUGUGCUUAAAGGCACAGACCCACAAGAGAACACUGCAACUGACCUGAAGCUGUGGAGAAGACUUCCAAAAUUGACUGACAGCUCUGGGAUUACGGACUCACAAACAAGAAGUAGUUUCCCCAAAUAAAUCUUUUCUACAAGGCAUCUUUGGUCGGAGAGCUUUGUAAACACAACUCAUGGAGUGAAGCAGCACAGGGCUGAGGUCAAGACUUCCAAAUCCACAAUAAAAUUAAAUAGUUAAUUGGGAAGAUGGAUGCAUUUCAGAAGAUGUAAGAGCCAAGAAUGCCUUCUUCCUUCACUGAAACUGGUAACACAUGUUUUUCUAUGUAGCCCAACACAGAACUGAACAGAAGAAAAUACUCUCACAAAAUAAUUUGGUAUAUGAGAAUGAUGAGAUUCUGAUUGUUAUUAAUGGAUGUGAGACCAGCCUUUCAUCCUACUGCAAAUUAUUCCUCAAAACCAGCAUUAAAUCACACAUUCAGAGACAAAGACCUCUCAUUCAGGCAGCUCUGGGCUGCUAUGAUUUGUUUCCACUCCACAGAUUAUCCAUGUAUUUAAAUGCAGCUGUAACACUGCAGAGCUGAUCUCACCAAACUCUGUGUGUCCUAAUUCAUCCUUGUGGUGAUUGUCUCCUUUAGAUCACAGUGAAAGGCACAUUUUAGUGCAACUGUGGCUGAAAGUCAAGGUUGGACUGAAACUUAUUUUUUAACAUUCUGGUGGUAACAUCUAUGAAUUGUUCAAUGUAUGCCGCUCUGCCACUUUAUUUUGUCCUUUUAAUAGAAUUUUUGCUCAUACAAGGUGUGUUUUUCCACCUACAUCUCCAUGUAGGUGGCAUCUCCAUGAUGCAAUCCAUGAAAAUAAUACUAAGGAGUAAACCUGGGUGCUUUUUUGGACUUCCAGGCUGUGAGCACAGGGAGGGCACACAGAUUACCAGAGUGAAAACAGAGGUGGCAGGUGCAUUGCAGAACUACAGAGGGGACCUGCUUCUUUUGGGAGCCUGCCAUAAACACAACAGCUGAGGCAGGAAGGGCUACAGUGAGCUCAUGUUUAUUUUAAUAUUGUUUGUUGCUCUGCUCAAACAGCUCCCUGGAUGAUUUUGACCUCAAGUGCUCACUCCAAAAAAGCAUCUGUGUGUAAACACCACCUGCAUGGUGGAGCACACCACAAGCCACUGCUGCCACUGUGUUACUUUCUUAUCAUCCAUAACGUGGAAAUGGGGCUGCCAGGCUCUGCAGAUGGCAGACACGUGUGCCCAACAUCCACAUUUUAUAGCUCUGAUCAAUAAAAUGAAGGCAUUCCCACCUCUGAUGCUGUUCUGGUAAAAAUUGUCUCUCUUUAGUUACUGGUUAAUCUCUGUCCCUGUAAUUUCCAGAUGAUAUUGUCUUUAAAUAUUAGCGUUUAAUUUUGGCAUUGUUGAGCAGUUGGCCUACGUAUCAGAUUUUCCUAGAGCCAACAUUUUCUUGGUGUUAUCUAGAGUUUUAAUUUAUUAGCUCCCCUCCUUAGUGAAGAAUUAACUUUGAUCUUCUCUUAUCGGCUCUUGUGUUUGUGGUGAAAGUAUCUUCUCCAAUGUAAUUCCUUAUUUUCUGGCUUUAUGGGAGAGCUCAGAAGUUAAAAUCAGCCCGUCUCCUCAGCCUGUGGUACCCCAGGGGUGCAGGACCACCUCACCUGAGCUGUGCACCCCUGAAGGUGGGAGCAGGAGCAAACCUGAAUUUCACACCUUGGGUUUGGGGUUCACUGUGUGGGGUUUCAGCUGGUUUAUCCUCUGAACAUUUGUGCAUCUCCAGUGACUGGAUUACUACAAACUCAUUUUUUUAUUGUCCUAGUUCUGAACAGGCAAAUGGUUGAAUCUCUUCAGGGGUUGAAGAAGGAGAAAUAUGAAACUGAGUAAAAUAUGCAAAGCUCAGUCCUGUUUUCUUUGAACAGGCUAACUUGUAUUUUUUAUCAAAUAUUUUCAAAUAUUUUUUUAUCUCUCUUGGCCCUUGAAAAACAGUUCCCAUAAAAUUGCAACUUCAGGCAUUACAAAUAAAAUCUGUGCCUGUUUACUUAUUUGUUCAAACAUCUAUUCAGGUGUCAAGUACAGAAGAGGGGCUUUUGACAUCCCUUUCUGUCCAGAGGAGUCAUACCAAUCAUGCAGACUUCAACAGUGGGAUUUUCCACAGGUUUAGUUUAAUAAAAAUGAGAGGGAAGUGAUCCCACUGAAGGUCUGGCUACCUCAGCCCACUCUCCCUGGUGGCAUCCCAAGCCAAAGAGCAGGAACAGAACAGGCACAGACAAUUCCCCUGCUCUGACUCUCCCAGCUUCUGACCUCUCUCACCCUCAGAUGUGCUUUCCAUGGUUUAACAACCCUCAGCUGAUUUCCAUUCCAUGGACUUGUCCAGUUUCCUCUGAAACCUUCAGCAUCCCCAGUCCCAUCUGUGGUGACUUCACAGACCUUGUCCCUGCCCUUGUCAGCUGUCCCUCUCCUGGGACAGUCCUCGUGGGCUUGGUGGCUUCCCACGUGGGAACCACCACUGUCACUCUUCAAACCACUGCCCAUCUCCUAAAGCACAGAUGCCACAGGUGACCACAGCAGUAGAUCAGUCAGCAAUUUUCCCAUGGGAAUUACUCUGUGCUGGGAAUGGGAUUUAUAUCUUCAUUUACAUGGAAAUUAUCAACCCACGAAAAUCCCAAAGCAAUGUUUUAUUACAUUUUCUAGCUCCUUCAUUAUAUAAUGAUUAGACUGUAAGUUUUGGAUUUGAAAUUGCAAUCACAUGAAUGGCACAUUUUAGUGUGUACAGUGUUUACAGGAUUGAGAAAGUUCUGGAAAAUUGGUUUUUACAAUGCAAAUGUUUUCAGGGAUUUCUGGUUACUGAACCUAAUCAGGAGUAAUUUCCAGAGAGUAUUUUUUACUGUAGUUCUAAAAAAGCUUGUAAGGAGCCUCACCAGUACAAGUGCAUGCAAGAACAAAUAAAUUAAUUACAGUGUGAGUUGUUGGAGGAGAUAAUGGUUCUCUCUCCUUGACCACACACCAUUCUGGAGAGAUAUGGAGCAUCUGACUGCCCAAGUGCUCAUUUACACUUCACAGGACCAGUAUUUACACAUCUAAAUGGUAUUUUUAUAGUCUUAUUGAGCACUUUGAACAUCAUCAUUCUACUCCCUGGUUUAAAGAGGGAAUUCGAAUUUCCAUUUGUGAUCUGGUCCUUUUACAUUAAAAUAAAAUAAAAAAUGGAUGAAUUGAGGUGCCCGAUCACAAUUAAUUCUUUUGCUCUCAUUCCAUUUGUUUUUUGCUCUCUGCAAGCAACAUUUUCUAUUUGAAAAGAAAACACAAUAAAGAAAAUAAAGUCAGGAGGAAGGAAAUGUGUAAAUCUUUGUCAGCUUUGCAUUGCCACAGUAAAUGCAAUGUGAUAUUUCCAGAAUCCACUAGAACAGCAUCAUUUUUGCUGCUGACAGUGUGAUUACUUUUUUUUUUAUGGGAGAAAAACAGGAGCUUUUCCCUGAGUUAAGAUCUCAUUUUCUUAAUCUCAUUCACUGGCUGGUACCAGACUCCUCAAAUUGGACAUUUUUUUCUCAAGCCAUGCAUGGAUGUACAUUCUGAUCCUACUGUUAAACUUCAUGGAAAAAAAAAAUUGACCCGACCAUGUCAGCACAUUUUUAUGAGUAAAACCCCAGAGUCUCUUAUUCGAACUCCUGGUAGCUUAUGGGUUUAUGUGCAGCUUUGGUAAGAGCUUUUAUAUAAGUGAAUGUAUUUUAAACCAGCAUUUGUCAGAAUUCUAUAUUAUUACAUUUUUCCAAUUCUGUUGAUUUAUGUGUAAUCUUCUCAUUUCCUCCCUCAGCCCUGUAAAAAUGAUCCUCACUGCUGUGCUGCUCAUACAGCAAAACCUGGCCAGCUUUGCUUCAGAUGCCUCUUUGACUCUAUCCUGACAGUGUCCACAUGCCAAAAAUUCCCUCAAUAAUUAUUUUUGCCUCUUAAAUCUUCUUUCCCUGCUUUUCCCACUCCAUGGAAACUCUUUCUUGACCUAUAUAUGUGCCCUGUUUUAAUAGUUUGUUGCUAUACUGUGGCUGCUCUCAACCUUGUAUACAUUUUCUUUUCUUCUUUAUAACAAACUGCAGGUAACAAAUACGCAGGCCUGUUAAAAUUAUUCCAGACUGUCAACCCUCAUUCAUUUUUUUUUGUGGGAAAAUUCAAAUGGAGGCCUCCAUCCCCUAGGAAAUCACUGACUUAAAUCUGUUGCACAGUUUGAGUCUAUGAAACCAACUUGUUGCCAUAAAUUAACAACUUAAACAAAUUUAUGUAUGCCCUUGUUCCUAAAAAUGUUUCUAAAUGAAGGUGCAUUUUCAUGUUAAAAUGUUAAGUCUGCAGAUUUUUUUAAACCCUUUCUUUCCAAGUUAUUUUUUUCCAAAGUUUGGCCCCACAAGUUACAAAUUCCUUAUUUGAAUUAUAAUCAUAGAAUCAUAAAAUGGUUUGGAUUGGAAGGGACCUUAAAAAUCUUCUUGUUUCACCACCACUGUCGAGGGAAGGGUGGCAUUACAAAAUAUAUUCAUUUGUUUUAUAAAGGGUCCAAGUUUCAUUACAUUUUUCCAGUUUUCUUAUUUCAAAACAAAAAAUUCUUACCGAAGCUGCUCCUAAAAUCCAAUAGGUGUUAGUUAUAUAACAUAAUUCCUUCAAAUAUAAACCAUCAAUUUUUAAAAUAAUUGGGUUUUU